AUAUGUUAGUCUAUAUCUGAUACGUGUACAGCUUAUAAGCUAUAGAGGUCUUCGUAUAAAUCACGACCACUGUAUUAGGUAGCUUCGUAUAUCUGAUACGUGUACAGCUUAUAAGCUAUAGAGGUCUUCGUAUAAAUCACGACCACUGUAUUAGGUAGCUUCGUAUAUCUGAUACGUGUACAGCUUAUAAGCUAUAGAGGUCUUCGUAUAAAUCACGACCACUGUAUUAGGUAGCUUCGUAUCAGUAGUAAGCACCAAUCCCUUCCGUGUACAUUCGAUACUAAUACAAACCCGUGACUCUCAACACUGUGAGAACAAACACUUCAAACCUUGUACAGGUGUCCUAUUAUUUAUGAAAAAAGAAAUCAUACAGCAUUUAUGCAACUUUAUAUCUACGAAAAGAAAGGAAGUAAAACCUUCCAAGUAUUGCCUAAAACUGGUUGCAAACUUUUUCUCUAUGACUGAAGAUUUGCACAUUACAAAGGUUAGAAGAAGAGAUCGACAAAAUUUUAGCAUGUAAAAACAGUACAUAUAAUUUUAGACAAACAGGUUGAAACUGGAGAAAAUAUGUAUAACUUUUUCACUCUGUUGGCAUCAAAAUAGAUUAAAAAAAUUGCAAUACAUCAAUUCCCUUUUUUUAGUAUCGUUUCCAAAAAGGGCCCAUAUUUUAUUUAAAUUAAAUCAAUUUUAAGCCAUUCUAAUUCCCAUUACUCAAAAAGCAAAGAGACUCCACAAUUUCAAGAGAUUUUACUCCAAAUUGUCAGG